CAUGUCUUAUUGAUUAUUAAUUUUAAGUCUGAUCUGCCCAGUGAGCAGUUUAACGGCCGCAGUAUUUUGACUGUGCAAAGGUAGCAUUAUAAUUAGUUUUUUGAUUGAAAGCUGGUAUGAAUGAUUGAACGAGAAAAAUUCUGUCUCAGUAAAGUUUUAAUUUAAAUUAAUUUUUAAGUGAAAAAGCUUAAAUAUUUUUAGAGGACGAGAAGACCCUAUAGAGUUUUAAAUUAUUUUAUUUAUAAAUAAUUUGGUAUUUUAAUAUUUAUAUUAUUUAUAUAUUUUUGAUUGGGGUGAUUGAAAGAUUUAUUUAACUCUUAAAAAUAAAAACAAUGAUUAUUGAUUAAUUGAUCUUUAAUAAAGAUUUAAAGAUUAAAUUACCUUAGGGAUAACAGCGUAAUUUUUUUUAAAGUUCUUAUUGAAUAAAGAGAUUGCGACCUCGAUGUUGGAUUAAAAUUUAUUUUUAGUGCAGAAGCUAAAAUAUUAAGUCUGUUCGACUUUUGAAAUUUUACAUGAUCUGAGU
rnacentral:rRNA from 1 species